rnacentral:rRNA from 1 species
CGUGAGGAAGGCAGACCCAGGGAACUGAAACAUCUAAGUACCUGGAGGAAGAGAAAGAAAAAUCGAUUUCCUGAGUAGCGGCGAGCGAAACGGAAAGAGCCCAAACCAAGAAGCUUGCUUCUUGGGGUUGUAGGACACUCUAUACGGAGUUACAAAAGAAAGUUAUAAAUGAAGCGGUCUGGAAAGGCCCGCCAAAGACGGUAACAGCCCGGUAGUUGAAAUGGCUUUCCCUCCAGAGUGGAUCCUGAGUACGGCGGAACACGUGAAAUUCCGUCGGAAUCCGGGAGGACCAUCUCCCAAGGCUAAAUACUCCCUAGUGACCGAUAGUGAACCAGUACCGUGAGGGAAAGGUGAAAAGCACCCCGGAAGGGGAGUGAAACAGUUCCUGAAACCGUGUGCCUACAAGUAGUUAGAGCCCGUUAAUGGGUGAUAGCGUGCCUUUUGUAGAAUGAACCGGCGAGUUACGAUUUGUUGCAAGGUUAAGCGGAAAAAGCGGAGCCGUAGCGAAAGCGAGUCUGAAUAGGGCGCAUAAGUAACAGGUCGUAGACCCGAAACCAGGUGAUCUACCCAUGUCCAGGAUGAAGGUAAGGUAAUACUUACUGGAGGUCCGAACCCACGCACGUUGAAAAGUGCGGGGAUGAGGUGUGGGUAGCGGAGAAAUUCCAAUCGAACUUGGAGAUAGCUGGUUCUCUCCGAAAUAGCUUUAGGGCUAGCCUCGAGGUAAAGAGUCAUGGAGGUAGAGCACUGUUUGGACUAGGGGCCCUUCUCGGGUUACCGAAUUCAGAUAAACUCCGAAUGCCAUGUACUUAUACUCGGGAGUCAGACUGCGAGUGAUAAGAUCCGUAGUCGAAAGGGAAACAGCCCAGACCACCAGUUAAGGUCCCCAAAUAUAUGUUAAGUGGAAAAGGAUGUGGGGUUGCUUAGACAACCAGGAUGUUGGCUUAGAAGCAGCCACCAUUGAAAGAGUGCGUAAUAGCUCACUGGUCGAGUGACCCCGCGCCGAAAAUGUACCGGGGCUAAACAUAUUACC